rnacentral:rRNA from 1 species
GUAGGUGGCAAGCGUUGUCCGGAAUUAUUGGGCGUAAAGCGCGCGCAGGCGGUUCUUUAAGUCUGAUGUGAAAGCCCACGGCUCAACCGUGGAGGGUCAUUGGAAACUGGAGAACUUGAGUACAGAAGAGGAAAGCGGAAUUCCACGUGUAGCGGUGAAAUGCGUAGAGAUGUGGAGGAACACCAGUGGCGAAGGCGGCUUUCUGGUCUGUAACUGACGCUGAGGCGCGAAAGCGUGGGGAGCAAACAGGAUUAGAUACCCUGGUAGUCCACGCCGUAAACGAUGAGUGCUAAGUGUUAGGGGGGCUUCCGCCCCUUAGUGCUGCAGCUAACGCAUUAAGCACUCCGCCUGGGAGUACGGCCGCAAGGCUG